UGUUUUUCCUUUACCCUUUUCUCUGGGGUCCAGUUUUCCCAGGAAUCCCUUCACUCAUGAGAAAGGGGGAUUCCUGGAAAUACUGAUCUUGGGGGCGAGGCU
ensembl:miRNA microRNA 145